rnacentral:rRNA from 1 species
AACGAACGCUGGCGGCAUGCCUAACACAUGCAAGUCGAACGAGCCCUUCGGGGCUAGUGGCGCACGGGUGCGUAACGCGUGGGAAUCUGCCCUCUGGUUCGGAAUAACAGUUGGAAACGACCGCUAAUACCGGAUAAUGACUUCGGUCCAAAGAUUUAUCGCCAGAGGAUGAGCCCGCGUCGGAUUAGCUUGUUGGUGAGGUAAAAGCUCACCAAGGCGACGAUCCGUAGCUGGUCUGAGAGGAUGAUCAGCCACACUGGGACUGAGACACGGCCCAGACUCCUACGGGAGGCAGCAGUGGGGAAUAUUGGACAAUGGGCGAAAGCCUGAUCCAGCAAUGCCGCGUGAGUGAUGAAGGCCUUAGGGUUGUAAAGCUCUUUUACCCGGGAUGAUAAUGACAGUACCGGGAGAAUAAGCCCCGGCUAACUCCGUGCCAGCCGCCGCAGUAAAAC